CGCAGGCUGCAACCCGCCUGCGUGAAGUUGGAAUCGCUAGUAAUCGCGGAUCAGAAUGCCGCGGUGAAUACGUUCCCGGGCCUUGUACACACCGCCCGUCACACCAUGAGAGUCGGGAACACCCGAAGUCCGUAGCCUAACCGCAAGGGGGCGCGGCCGAAGGUGGGUUCGAUAAUUGGGGUGAAGUCGUAACAAGGUAAC
rnacentral:rRNA from 1 species